CAAUUUGUGUAUGCCUUGCCAUUUUGCUUGUGAAAUGAUGAUGCUUAAUCCAAUGAGGCUGAAUCUUUUUGUGCUUAAACUAGACAUGUUCAUGGUCAUUUUGGUAUGAAGUUUGUGAUUUUAUCAUUCCUGGUUGAUGAGAUAUGAUUUUUUGAAUAGAGGUGUGACAAUUUGUGUCACACCAUUCUUGUCCAAUUUGAUGAUUUU
rnacentral:lncRNA from 1 species